rnacentral:ncRNA from 1 species
AAAAUAGUUGAUAUUGCUAUCAUUGUUAAGUUUUUUUAAAAUUAAACAUGUGAGUUUAAGUGUUAGAUUAACCUAAACUAAAAGUUUAGUUUAAAUUGUUUUUCAGUUUUAAGUAUUAUUUUUUUAAAAAUUUAAAUUAUAGUUUUUAAAAAUCAACAUUAACAAAUUUUAGUGCCAGCAGUUGCGGUUAUACUAAUAAUGUGACAUUUAACUUCAUUAGUUAGGUAUUAUAUAUUUUUAUAUUAUCUAUAAUUUGGUUUUUUAAGUGAAAUUUAAAAUUAAUUUAAGUUAACGGUAUAUUAUAUACUAAAUUGUUUUUCAAACUAGGAUUAGAUACCCUAUUAUUUUCAACUUAAAUAUUUUAACUAUAAGAGUAUCAAUUAUAUUUAGAAAAUAAAAUUAUUUGGCGGUAAUUGUUAAUUGUUCAGAGGAACCUGCCCUUUAAACGAUACACCACGAUUAAUUUUACCUUGUUUAUUGUUUAUAUACCUCUAUCAUUGAAUAUUUUUUAAGAAUAUUUUCUUUAAUUAUUUUAUACUAAAUGUUAGGUCAAGGUGUAGCUUAUCAAGGGAGAGGUGGGUUACAUUUAUUUUAUUAGUGGAUUAAACUAAAUUGAUUGUUUAUGAAACUGGAUUUGAUUGUAAUUUUUUUUAAAAAAUAAAAAUGAAAUUAUUAUGGUUAUGCACAUAUCGCCCGUCAUUCUCAUAAAUUGGGACAAGUCGUAACAAAGUAGGGGUAUUGGAAAAUGCUCCUGGGAAGAU